CCUGCGCCUCCUCCGCCGCCUGCUCCUGCGGGAAGGGCCUCCGCCGCGGCGCGCCUCUCGCCUCUGCUUCUCCUUCCCUCCUCUCCGCGCGCCCCUCCAGAAUGUUCAUCCGUAAUCUACAUAACUCCUCCUUCCCGGGGUCUGCCCGACUCCCGGGUGCUCGGCGCGCGCGCGGACACGCGCACACACAUAUGCACGCGCACACACAUAUGCACACGCACACACACACACACACACACACGUCUGCAAACGAGCACACACACAACCCGACCUGCGCGCGCUUCUUAAAGGAGACGGCUCGUAAAGGGGAAUCGCGCUCUGGAAGCAGCCAGCGCGCGCGAGGGGCCCUGGAUGAGGACCGCGUCUGUGACACACCGCCCACCCUCAUCCCCGAGGCGGGCACCCGGGAACCUGGGCGGCUCCAUCCUUUCGUCUCGCCCUCCCCGCGCCGUGUACCUAGAAACAACCAGCAGAGGGGAAGAGGAGCCCGCGGGAAGAACCGCAGGCGAGACGGAGAAUGAGGGCCAUUCAGGGUGUGACAGCCGCCUCGGCGAGGCUUAGAGGGACUCACCAGGGAGAUGCGCAGGUCAGCUGGUCGAGCAAAAGUAGGCCUGCAAGACGUCGUGAUGUGAUGGCAGGGGACGACGCAAUGCCUGCUUGAGGAGAUGCAGUGAGGCUGAGUCCUUGAAAAUGGCUCCAACUGUGGGAACAAUGGCAGAACGAACAUUUCAAGGACAGGGAGGAGUGAAACACCCCUGAUCCCCGGGUCCACUCGCAAGGAUCCUAUCCACUCUGUUGUGAGGAAGCCCAGCCACAUGCACAGGCCGUGUGCAGGUGAUCUCGCUGAGAGCCCCCACCGCAGCCCCAGCCAACAGUACCAACCUGCAAGACACUUGCUGUGGAGUUCUCUGGAGGCCACUUUACCUUAUGAUGACACAGCUGCUCGGAUAUCUGAUGUGUUGAACUUCUGACCUGUGACCGAGCUGAUGGAGGGUGUUUGGAGUCAGUAUUCUUGAUCUGAGGAGACAGCUGGGAGAGGGUCUGGUUUGUUCCGAGGAGUAAAGAGAAACCAAGAGUUUUGAUCCGGACAUAUGUGCAUAAGGCCUUGAGGCGGAAAUAUGAGGGUAGCACAGAGGCAGAGACUCUGAGUCUAAACAGACCCAGAUUCUGAACAGACCUGACGCUGCUGGGAGGAGGCUGGAGAUGUGGUUGACAUUUUCAAUCAAUUACGUGGAGGAACACAGCAAAAGCUACAGAAGAAUGCUUACAGAUUAGAGUUAGGAAUCGUAAGGAAAUUUCGGACCCAACAGCUAAGUAGACACUAGACAAGAUUACUAAAGAAAUUUGUGAAACCUCCUUGCCAAGAGAGAUUUAAAAGUAACAAAACCAAUCAGAAUAUGCUGGAACGCUUUACAUAGACUCCAUAGAGACACUAGAAGAUUAUGUGAUUUUCUCAAAAGCAUUUUUUCAUUCUAUUAUCUUGAGAAUCUCAGGUAUUAUAAGCUUCGUAGGAAAGAGUUGUAUAUGUUGUAUCAUAUUCUUAGAUUCUUAAUUAAAUUUGACAUAUAUGAAUUUAAAGGCAUUAUUGUUACCAUUUUGUAAUAAAUAUUGA
ensembl:lncRNA